AGUGAACGCUGGCGGCGUGCCUAAUACAUGCAAGUCGAACGGAGUGGCGCACGGGUGAGUAAUAUAUAGCUAAUCUGCCCCUUGCUGGAGGACAACAGGUAGAAAUGACGGCUAAUACUCCAUAGCAAGGGAUGAGACUAUAUCGUAUCAGCUAGUCGGUGGGGUAACGGCCUACCGAGGCUAUGACGCGUAACUGGUCUGAGAGGAUGGUCAGUCACAUUGAAACUAGGACGCGGUCCAGAGUCCUACGGGAGGCAGCAGUAGGGGAGAGUGCGACAUGGGGGAAACCCUGACGCAGCAACGCCGCGUGGAGGAUGACAAUUGUCAGAGCGUAAACUCCUUCUAUUAGGGAAGCGGUACCUAACGAAUAAGCACCGGCUAACUCCGUGCCAGCAGCCGCGGUAAUUC
rnacentral:rRNA from 1 species